rnacentral:rRNA from 1 species
UAUGUGAUCGUCUCUCGCAUAUCAAUAAGCGGAGGAAAAGAAACUAACAAGGAUUCCCCUAGUAACGGCGAGUGAAGCGGGAAGAGCUCAAAUUUGAAAUCUUAAAGGGUUUCCCUUUACGAAUUGUAGUUUAAAGAAGUGUUUUCUGUUGAGGUUUUGGUAAAAGUUCUUUGGAAUAGGACAUCAUAGAGGGUGAGAAUCCCGUAUUUGACCUUUACUUUCAACUUCGUGAUACACUUUCAAAGAGUCGGAUUGUUUGGGAAUGCAGUCCAAAAUGGGUGGUAAAUUUCAUCUAAAGCUAAAUAUUGGCGAGAGGACCGAUAGCGAACAAGUACCGUGAGGGAAAGAUGAAAAGAACUUUGAAAAGAGAGUUAAACAGUACGUGAAAUUGUCAAAAGGGAAGCGUUUGACACCAGUGUUGUUUUUCUGAAAAUCAAUUAAAGAACUGUUUAUGCUAAGCUGUUUAGACUUUAUCAGCUAACUGUUUAGUUUUGAGCUUUUCUUUAAUGCACUUUUCAGUUAACAAGUCAACAUCAAUUUCUUUUGCUGUAAAAAAGCUUGAGGAAGGUGGCUUGAGAUUCGUCUUAAGUGUUUAUAGCCUCUUGCCUAUGCAGUCGGAGAGAUUGAGGUCUGCAGCGUAGAUCCUUCGGGGCUAAAUGCAUUUGUGCUAAGUUAUAGCAUUUUAUAGACAACUUGUUGACUAUGAUUUGUCUUGUAGCUUACUCGCUUAUGUUAUUUUACCUACGCUUAGGAUGUUGAGUAGCGACAUACGCAC